CAAGAGCGUAUGUAAAAGUUGUUGCAGUUAAAAAGCUCGUAGUUGAACCUUGGGUUUGGUUGGCCGGUCCGCUUUUUUGCGAGUACUGGAUUCAACCGAGCCUUUCCUUCUGGCUAACCAGUCGUUUCGGCGGCUGGCGAACCAGGAUUUUUACUUUGAGAAAAUUAGAGUGUUCAAAGCAGGCAUUAGCUUGAAUAUAUUAGCAUGGAAUAAUAGAAUAGGACGUUAUGGUUCUAUUUUGUUGGUUUCUAGGACCAUCGUAAUGAUUAACAGGGACGGUCGGGGGCAUCAGUAUUCAGUUGUCAGAGGUGAAAUUCUUGGAUUUACUGAAGACUAACUACUGCGAAAGCAUUUGCCAAGGACGUUUUCAUUAA
rnacentral:rRNA from 1 species